rnacentral:rRNA from 1 species
AUUGAACGCUGGCGGCAUGCCUUACACAUGCAAGUCGAACGGCAGCACGGGUGCUUGCACCUGGUGGCGAGUGGCGAACGGGUGAGUAAUACAUCGGAACAUGUCCUGUAGUGGGGGAUAGCCCGGCGAAAGCCGGAUUAAUACCGCAUACGAUCUACGGAUGAAAGCGGGGGACCUUCGGGCCUCGCGCUAUAGGGUUGGCCGAUGGCUGAUUAGCUAGUUGGUGGGGUAAAGGCCUACCAAGGCGAAGAUCAGUAGCUGGUCUGAGAGGACGACCAGCCACACUGGGACUGAGACACGGCCCAGACUCCUACGGGAGGCAGCAGUGGGGAAUUUUGGACAAUGGGCGAAAGCCUGAUCCAGCAAUGCCGCGUGUGUGAAGAAGGCCUCCGGGUUGUAAAGCACUUUUGUCCGGAAAGAAAUCCUUGGCCCUAAUACGGUCGGGGGAUGACGGUACCGGAAGAAUAAGCACCGGCUAACUACGUG